UCCUGCUUUCUCCCUCCCUCUGGAAGUAUGCUCUGGUAAAAUAAAUCCUUUCCAAGACUUGGAUUCCCAGAGAAUGAAGAGAGGAGGAGAAGAGAAGAGGAGAUACCACAACAUUUCUCCAACAUACAAAGAGUUUCCCUGCCAGUCAUGUGAUGGGCCUUCUGCAUGGCUGGACUGAGCACACAGACCACUAGUGCCGGAAAGACAGACUGG